UACCAGAAAAGGGUUCUGUGACUAUUGAUGGGAAACUGGUCUCUUUCAUUGAGUUAGGGGUUGGUU
rnacentral:snoRNA from 1 species